rnacentral:miRNA from 1 species
AAAGCUUAAGCUGUUGGGUAAGG